UACAUGUGGGGCAAGCGUUGUUCGGAAUUACUGGGUAUAAAGGGUGCGUAGGCGGCUUGUUAAGUCAGGGGUGAAAGUUUUCGGCCCAACCGGAAAAUGGCCUUUGAUACUGGCGAGCUCGAGUGCGUGAGGGGUGACUGGAACGAGCAGUGUAGCGGUGAAAUGCGUAGAUAUUGCUCGGAAGGCCGACGGCGAAGGCAGGUCACUGGUACGCAACUGACGCUGAGGCACGAAAGCGUGGGGAGCAAACAGG
rnacentral:rRNA from 1 species